rnacentral:rRNA from 1 species
AGAGUUUGAUCCUGGCUCAGGAUGAACGCUAGCUACAGGCUUAACACAUGCAAGUCGAGGGGCAGCAUUUCAGUUUGCUUGCAAACUGGAGAUGGCGACCGGCGCACGGGUGAGUAACACGUAUCCAACCUGCCGAUAACUCGGGGAUAGCCUUUCGAAAGAAAGAUUAAUACCCGAUGGUAUAAUCAGACCGCAUGGUCUAAUUAUUAAGAAUUUCGGUUAUCGAUGGGAUGCGUUCCAUUAGGCAGUUGGUGAGGUAACGGCUCACCAAACCUUCGAUGGAUAGGGGUUCUGAGAGGAAGGUCCCCCANAUUGGAACUGAGACACGGUCCAAACUCCUACGGGAGCA